ensembl:lncRNA
ACCCCAGUUUGUUUAUUAGUAUUUUAUUAUUAUUUUUAUUCAGUUCUUGUUUUAGUUCUUGUUGUUGUUGUUUAAAUGCUUUGUAGAGUACUUGCACAGCAACUACAUCCUGGGCUGUGGAAAGAGUAUGGACGUGAUGAUCUCAACGGUGCUCCAAGUCAGAAUUGGUCAAAUAACUGUGGAGUGUUUGUGUUGAUGUACACACUCAAUGUUGUAAUGGGAGGCGUCUUUGAUUUUGCUGAUGUGAGCUAUCAAAAUUAAUAAUUUGGGAAAAAGUUUAUUCUCAAAGGGUGAUUGUGAUUUACAUUAUGCAUAUUUUCCAGUCUGACAUGGCUGCAGUAAGGAGAUGGUGGUGCUUGCCCUGCUAACAAAUUAUCAUGUGAAGUAAGCCUAUUUCCAAGUUUUUCCAAUAAAUAAAACAUAUUUAUUAAUAGUAGUGGGUGA